rnacentral:rRNA from 1 species
AACGAACGCUGGCGGCAUGCCUAACACAUGCAAGUCGAACGAGACCUUCGGGUCUAGUGGCGCACGGGUGCGUAACACGUGGGAAUUUGCCUCGGGGUAUGGAAUAACUCAGGGAAACUUGAGCUAAUACCAUAUAAUGUCUUCGGACCAAAGAUUUAUCGCCCUGAGAUAAGCCCGCGUAGGAUUAGCUAGUUGGUGAGGUAAAGGCUCACCAAGGCGACGAUCCUUAGCUGGUCUGAGAGGAUGAUCAGCCACACUGGGACUGAGACACGGCCCAGACUCCUACGGGAGGCAGCAGUGGGGAAUUUUGGACAAUGGGCGCAAGCCUGAUCCAGCCAUGCCGCGUGUGUGAUGAAGGCCUUAGGGUUGUAAAGCACUUUCACCGGAGAAGAUAAUGACGGGU